rnacentral:lncRNA from 1 species
CACCUAUCCCUAGGUCCAUCGACCGCUAGUGUUAUUUACACUACAUUAAUGCCACUCGUCAUUAUUUAAUAUUCGGAUGCCACUCGUGUUCUUUAACAUUAAACACUACUUUCUAUGUCAUCAAUACCCCCAUCGGGUUCAUCUCUCUUCUUUCGCAUCAUAGGAUUCACGUCUCGACCCAAUCCCCACCUAUCUAAGUUACCAAGCGUUCCAAGUACACUAGGCUAUCAUUUAGAAAGCAUAAGGAAUGGAGUUAUUAUGCAAUCCUACAAUGCAACAUGAAGAUAUGAGAUUAAAUGCAAUCUAAGACAUAGAAAGGAGUUCGAAAGCUUCGGGAUGGCACCCCCCACCUUUUACCAACGUAGAGGCUUUAAAAACGCUCCUCGGCGAGCUUUACGAAAAGGCUUUAGCCUUCCCUAAUCCAAGAUAGCGCCGAAACGACCGUAUUUCGCCGAUAGCUCCAAGCUCGCUCGACGAAUUGCGAAAUCGACUUCGCCCCCACGUUUGGGCACCUAUCGAUGAGGUUUACAAGGCCUCAAAUGAGAUCAAUCUCAUACUUUACAAAAUGCCCCCAUUUGGAGCCCUAGGUUGCACAUAUAGCAAACCACCAAUAAAACCCUAGAUUCAUGGGAUUGAUCUACUUAGAAGCUUGCCUAGGGUCCAUUUGACCCAUUCCAAAGCAUAAAAACCCAAAACCCUAAGUUCUAGAAGCUAGGGUUUAGUAGCUUACCUCAAGAGCUACACCAAUGGGAAGAGGAGAGGGAGAUAGAGGUGCUCAAAGCCUUCCUCUUGAUCUCCUUCUUCUUCUCCUUCCUUAUCUUCCUCUUCCUUUCCUUCCUCUCCUUCUUGUUCUUCUUCUUCUCCUUUCCUUUCUAGAGAGAGCAAGAGAGAAAGGGAGUGAGAGAGAGAGAGAGAGAGAAAUGAGAGGCUAAGAGGGGGAGUGGGCCAAUAUGCCCCUCUAUUGUAACAAAAUCCACUUUAGCCCCUCAACUUUUCAUCCCUCGCGCAGCUGUCACUGGGCUGUUUCCGCCCAGAGGGACCGGUCUUCUCGACGAGGGACCGGUCCCCGAGAGCUCUCCCUGCAGUCUGGGGACUUUUCGCGUUCGGGAACCGGUCCUCACCUGUGGGACCGGUUCCCGAAAGGGGAACCUUCAGGACUUAGCCAAAUUUAGGCUUCCUCUCGCGGGUGUCGCGUACGGGGACCGGUCCCCUCAGCCAAGGACCGGUCGCAUCGGCCUUGCCCUGCGACCCUCGGCUACGGGGACCGGUCCUUCCCUCCAGGGACCGGUCCCCGAGAGCAAAAAUCUGCUGAGUCCAGAUUUUAUCCAUUUGCUCUCGCGGACUCAACUCCAAAGCAUUUUUUGUGUUUUGGGCAUUCUUAAUUCCCACAAAGGGUAUUCUCUCGACAGUCAGUCGAUCCUGGAUGAAGUACAAUCCUCGGAUUUCGAGAAUUCACUUCCUUACAUCCUCCCCUCCUUAAAAGGAGUUUCGUCCUCGAAACGAACAAAUCUUCUAUCUUUAAUCUAAACGCAUACCUCACUCCUCAAACAGAUGAGGAUGGUGUUUUCUCAUCAGCUCUUCGAGCUCCCAGGUGGCCUCGCGAUCAUCAUGAUUGCUCCACCGGAUCUUCACAUAGGGGAUUUCUCGAUUUCUCAACUUUC